rnacentral:rRNA from 1 species
UGCAGCGACGCCGCGUGCGGGAUGAAGGCCUUCGGGUUGUAAACCGCUUUCAGCAGGGACGAGGCGAAAGUGACGGUACCUGCAGAAGAAGCCCCGGCUAACUACGUGCCAGCAGCCGCGGUAAUACGUAGGGGGCAAGCGCUAUCCGGAUUCAUUGGGCGUAAAGCGCGCGUAGGCUGCCCAGUAGGUCGAGAGUUAAAUCCGGGGGCUCAACCCCCGUCCGCUCCCGAUACCGCUGGGAUUCGAGUCUGGUAGGGGAAGGUGGAAUUCCCAGUGUAGCGGUGGAAUGCGCAGAUAUUGGGAAGGACACCGGUGGCGAAGGCGGCCUUCUGGGCCAUGACUGACGCUGAGGCGCGAAAGCUAGGGGAGCGAACAGGAUUAGAUACCCUGGUAGUCCUAGCCGUAAACGAUGGGCACUAGGUGUGGGGAGGCUUUACUUUCCGUUGC